GAACGCUGGCGGCGUGCUUAACACAUGCAAGUCGAACGGAAAGGCCCUGCUUUUGUGGGGUGCUCGAGUGGCGAACGGGUGAGUAACACGUGAGUAACCUGCCCGUGACUUUGGGAUAACUUCAGGAAACUGGGGCUAAUACCGGAUAGGAGCUCCUGCUGCAUGGUGGGGGUUGGAAAGUUUCGGCGGUUGGGGAUGGACUCGCGGCUUAUCAGCUUGUUGGUGGGGUAGUGGCUUACCAAGGCUUUGACGGGUAGCCGGCCUGAGAGGGUGACCGGCCACAUUGGGACUGAGAUACGGCCCAGACUCCUACGGGAGGCAGCAGUGGGGAAUAUUGCACAAUGGGCGGAAGCCUGAUGCAGCAACGCCGCGUGCGGGAUGACGGCCUUCGGGUUGUAAACCGCUUUCGCCUGUGACGAAGCGUGAGUGACGGUAAUGGGUAAAGAAGCACCGGCUAACUACGUG
rnacentral:rRNA from 1 species